GAGGGAACUUGCCGGUUGCCAAUCCAAAAGCAAGGUACCCUGGAUAAAACCCGAGUAGAAAGAAGACCGAGCACCCGAAGACUCGCAAGACAGUGGCAAACGUCAGUUUCUCCGGCCGCCGACCAGUUUGGUUUUGUUUCGAAGAGUAGUAAAAUGCUUGUGACCUCACGAAUCCUCUCCUCCUUCCUCUCCCCAAAGCUCACGCCUUUGCUCUUCCUCAAAUCCCGCCGCUUUCCUCCUGUCUCCCUCCGGCCCCUCUCCACCACCGCCACCCCUUACCCCCUCUAUUACGAGCUCAUCCGCCAUCGCCCCGCUCGGCCCCCUCCCCGCCACCACCCCCAGCCCGCCGCCGGCGACGACCAACCGACCGCCGCCGCCGCCGCCGCCGCCGACGACGACGACGAUGAUGAGAAGCCCAUGGACCGCUCCAAGCGGCGGUACUACCGGAAGCGGCGGCAGCGGAUGUUCGGCGGGUCCGACACCGACGAUGAUGGCGGCCGCCGGUCUCAAGCUGACGACUUUGUCGAGCUGAAGCCAGAGGUCGUCGACUUCCCGAGGCUCCACGCGCGGGAGGAGGAGCUCUACUUCUAUGACGCCUUUGCCUACCCCUGGGAGAAGGACAAGCACUACCGGAUGGUAUACCGGCUGGAGAAGAAGUACUUCCCCGAACAUUCCCUCGACAAGGCGUUCAUCGACCCAGGAACGGAGCCGGUGCAGGCGGCGGCGGCGGCGGAGGGGGAGAGGAAGAAGGGGAGGAAGUCGAAGAAGAAGAAGGACGAGGUUGAGGAGAGGGACACGAGGGGUUUGGUGUUCUUUGACGAGGAGGUGAAGGAUAAGCCUGCUGCUGUCUCUUCGGGUGCUGAGCCGACUGCCCGUGAUGUGACAGAGAGGAAAGUGGAAGAGUUCUUCAAAUGUUUGAAAAAAGUCCCCAAUGCCAGCGGGCAGAAACCUGCUGCAAAAGAGGUGGUGGAAGAUGGAGGAGAGCCGUAUCUGGUGAGUAGGAAGACGGAGCUUCCUCCGAGGUGGGAUGGGCCAUCUGGGACGGUCGUGCUGGUGGACAAACCUAAAGGAUGGACUUCAUUUACUGUUUGUGGAAAGCUGCGGCGGUUAGUCAAAGUGCAAAAGGUUGGGCAUGCUGGUACUCUUGACCCAAUGGCAACUGGUUUGUUGAUUGUUUGUGUUGGUAAAGCAACCAAAUUAGUGGAAAGAUAUCAAGGUAUGAUCAAGGGUUAUAGUGGUGUUUUCAGGCUGGGUGAGGCUACUUCAACUUGGGAUGCUGAUUCACCGGUCAUCCAAAGAGAACCAUGGGAACACAUCAAAGAUGAGGAUAUAAAAAAGGCUGCUGCAUCUUUCUUGGGAGAGAUAUGGCAAGUUCCUCCUAUGUUUUCUGCCAUUAAGGUAGGUGGUGAAAAGAUGUAUGACAAAGCAAGGAGAGGGGAGAUGAUUGAGCUGUCACCAAGACGCAUAUCAAUAUAUCAGUUUGAUAUUGAACGCAGCCUAGAUGACAGGCAAAAUUUGAUAUUCCGAGUCACUUGCUCAAAAGGGACAUAUAUCCGAUCCCUUUGUGCUGAUUUUGGCAAAGCUCUUGGCAGUUGUGCUCAUUUGACUGCCCUACGAAGAGACUUGAUUGGGGAAUAUUCAGUUGAUGAUGCAUGGAAUUUUCAAGAAUUGCAAGAACAGAUUACAAAGGGAUAUCUCUAAGAGCUGCACAAUCUGUUCCCUUCCUAAGUUUACUCCAGUUUCUUUAAGUUGCUGAGAGAACGAUUUCAAUAUCCAGUCAGUUAUUAGUGAGUUAAUUGAAUGCAGAUGGGGCACAGAAACAACAGAUACAAGGGUGAAGCUCUGAAAACACCAAUUCCAAAUUUUCAGUUUUGUGAUGAACUAUUUUUCACUUGGCAGGCAAAAUUCAUGAUGCUCUGAAUUACUAUUAUUAUUAUUAUUAUUGAAUCUUAAAUUUAUCUUUGUUAAAAGGAAAAAUGUUAAAAGUUUAGCAUAUUUGAAGUUUAGAAGACAGAAUUGCAAACUGCAAUGGUGGGCAGCUAACCACUAAUGAAUUACAACUGCAAAGGGAAAUGCCUGUAUGUCAGUUGAUAAUGACUUAAUGAUCAAGGCCUAGUCAAUGAGAGGGUUUUUCUUU